rnacentral:rRNA from 1 species
CCAGCAACUUGAAGGAAUGUAUAGCGAAAGCUAGUUGUGCUCUGGAGUGCAAUAUUGACUAUGUCAAAUAAAGUUCUGGGCGGAUAAUGAUGGUGACAUUUUCUGUCCAUGUGUCUUGACCAAAUUACGUGCCAGCAGUCGCGGUAAUACGUAGAAGACUAGUGUUAUUCAUCUUUAAUAGGUUUAAAGGGUACCUAGACAGCCUAUCAAGCCCCCCGAAAAAGGUACUAAUAGGCUAGAGUUUAAUACAAGGAGGCUUUAGAGUACUGAGAAUGUAGAGAGAUGAAAUUCUGUGAUACUAUAUAUGGCACAGGUAGAGGCGAAAGCAUCUUUUUAUGUAAAAACUGACGUUGAGGGACGAAGGCUGUGUGUAGCCAAAAGGAUUAGAUACCCAAGUAGUCUCAGCAGAAAAUGAUGAAUGUCAUAGGAUAGAUUAAAUUUUGUACUAUAAAUGAAAGUGUAAGCAUUCCACCUUAAGAGUAAUUUGGCAACAUUGGAACUGAAAUCAUUAGACCGUUUCUGAAACAAGUAGUGAAGUAUGUUGUUUAAUUUGAUGGUCCGCAAAAAACCUUACCACAAUUUGAAUAUAAAUUAUUUAUACAAGCGCUGCACGGUUGUCUUCAGUUAAUGUCGUGAGAUUGUGGUUAGUUCCAUUAAAUUAACGUAAACCCUUACUUUAUUUAUAUAUAGAGUUGUUCACCGCUAUAUUGGAUGUGAUAACAGGGACUAAGACAAGUC